rnacentral:lncRNA from 1 species
UGCUGGCGUGCCUUACAGAACGCACUCUGAACCACUGUUUACCACCUACCAUAUCAUGCACUUUACCAACAUGUACCAUCAUCGUCUUUUACAGCUCUACAAAUCACAGAUUGAACGCGGCAUAUUGUUCUUAUGUGAAGUCGCUAACCUCCACACCAACAUUCUUUGCUACCUUACAAGACACCACGAGUACUGGGCGUGCCCGAAUGAAAA